rnacentral:rRNA from 1 species
UAGGGAAUAUUGCACAAUGGAGGAAACUCUGAUGCAGCGACGCCGCGUGAGUGACGAAGGCCUUCGGGUUGUAAAGCUCUGUUCUCAGGGAAAAAGCAAGUGAUUGUACCUGAGAAGAAAGGACCGGCUAACUUCGUGCCAGCAGCCGCGGUAAGACGAGGGGUCCAAGCGUUGUUCGGAAUCAUUGGGCGUAAAGCGGGUGUAGGUGGCUUUUUAAGUCAGAAGUGAAAUCCCCGAGCUUAACUCGGGAAGUGCUUUUGAAACUGAAAAGCUUGAAUGUGGGAGAGGAUCGUGGAAUUCCAGGUGUAGUGGUGAAAUACGUAGAUAUCUGGAGGAACACCGGUGGCGAAGGCGGCGAUCUGGCCCAACAUUGACACUGAGACCCGAAAGCGUGGGGAUCAAACAG